rnacentral:rRNA from 1 species
UACGAAGGGGGCUAGCGUUGCUCGGAAUCACUGGGCGUAAAGGGUGCGUAGGCGGGUCUUUAAGUCAGGGGUGAAAUCCUGGAGCUCAACUCCAGAACUGCCUUUGAUACUGGGGAUCUUGAGUUCGGGAGAGGUGAGUGGAACUGCGAGUGUAGAGGUGAAAUUCGUAGAUAUUCGCAAGAACACCAGUGGCGAAGGCGGCUCACUGGCCCGAUACUGACGCUGAUGCACGAAAGCGUGGGGAGCAAACAGG